UUGGGGGAGGAAGAAAAAAAAUUGGGGGAAAAUCGGGCGAAAAAUGGGGAAAAAAUGGGAAAAAAAUGGGAUUUAAAUGAGAUUUAAAUGGUAUUUAAAUGAGAUUUAAAUGAGAUUUAAAUUAACUUAAAGAGAUAUAAAUGACCCAGUUUCUUCCCUCCCAGUGCCUCCCAGUACAAACCAGUAACUCCAGACCCCAAACCAGUACAAACCAGUCACCCCAAAUCCCCAUUUUCCCCAUUUUUUAACCCUUUUCCCCCCAUUUUUCCUCAUUUUUUCCCCAUUUUUCCCCCAUUUUCCCCCUCCCAGUCCCUCCCAGUUCCCUCCCAGUCCAAACCAGUCCAAACCAGUAACCCCCAGUCUCCUCCCAGUCCAAACCAGUAACCCCAAAUCCCCAUUUCCCCCCAUUUUCCUCAUAUUUUCUCCAUUUUUAACCCUUUUUUCCCCAAUUUUCCCCAUUUUUCCCCCUCCCAGUCCCUCCCAGUUUGUUCCCAGUCCCUCCCAGUAUAACCCAGUUUGUCUCUCACCCCGGGCCGGUGGAACUGGGCCCCGCAGCCAGAGCAGAACUGGUGGUGGCACUGGGAGCACUGGAAAUGCAAACAGCCCCCCCGGGCCAGGGCGAAGCGCUGCCCGCACUGGGGACACGCUGGGAGCACCAAAAUCACACAAAAUCACCCCAAAAUCACCCCCAAAUCUGACCCCAAAAUCACCCCAAAAAUCAGCCCAAAAUCGGCCCAAAAUCACACAAAAUUUACCCAAAAUUCAGCAAAAAAUCACCCAAAAUUCAGUCAAAAAUCAUCAAAUAUUCACCCUAAAAGUCAGCCCAAAAUCACACAAAAUUUACCCAAAAUUCAGCAAAAAAUCACCCCAAAAUCACACAAAAUUUACCCAAAAUUCAGCAAAAAAUCACCCCAAAAUCGGCCCAAAAUCACACAAAAUUUACCCAAAAUUCAGCAGAAAAUCACCCAAAAAUCAGCAAAAAAUCACCCAGAAUUCAGCCAAAAUUCACCCCAAAACCACCCCCAAAAUCUGACCAAAGUCACUCCAAAGUCACCCCAAAAUCUGCCCCAAAAUCAGCCCAAAAUCACCCAAAAAUCACCCCAAAAAUCACCUCAAAAUCACCCCAAAAUCAGCCAAAAAUCACCCAAAAUUCAGCCAAAAUUCACUCAAAAAUCUCCCCAAAAUCACCCCAAAAUCUGCCAAAAAUCAGCCCAAAAUCACCCUAAAGUCACACAAAAUUCAGCCAAAAUUCACCCAAAUUCCCACAUUUGUCCCAAAAAUCCACCCAAAAUUCCCAUUUUUUUCGCCCCAAAAAUCCCAUUUUUUCCUCCCCAAAAUCUCCCAAUUUUUUCCCUCCAAAAAAUCCCUUUUUUUCCCCCAAAAAAUCCCAUUUUCCUCCCAAAAAAAUCCCAUUUUUCCGAAAAAAAAAUCGCAUUUUUUCCCCCUAAAAAAAAUAAUUUUCCCUGCAAAAUCCCAAUUUUUCCCCCCCAAAAGAUUCCCAUUUUUUCCCCCAAAAAAACCCAAUUUUUCCCCUAAGAAAAAAUCCUAUUUUUUCCCCAAAACCUCAAAAUUUUUUCCCCAAAAAUUCCCCAUUUUUUC
rnacentral:lncRNA from 1 species